rnacentral:rRNA from 1 species
GCAAGUCGAACGCGAAAGGGACUUCGGUCCUGAGUAAAGUGGCGCACGGGUGAGUAACGCGUAGAUAACCUGUCUUCAUGUCUGGAAUAAUACGCCGAAAGGGGUACUAAUACCGGAUAUCUUGCUUUUCAUAAGUUAUGCAAGCAAAGGUGGCCUCUGCAUAUGCUACUGCAUGAAGAGGGGUCUGCGUACCAUUAGCUGGUUGGUGGGGUAACGGCUCACCAAGGCGACGAUGCGUAGCCGACCUGAGAGGGUGAUCGGCCACACUGGGACUGAGACACGGCCCCAGACUCCUACGGGAGGCAGCAGUAGGGAAUCUUCCGCAAUGGACGCAAGUCUGACGGAGCAACGCCGCGUGGGGUUGAAGAAGGGUUUCGGCUCGUAAAACUCUGUUGUUAAGGAAGAAUGUCAGUGAGAGUAACUGCUCAUUGAGUGACGGUACUUAACCAGAAAGCCACGGCUAACUACGUGCCAGCCGCUGC